GAGCCUCUGUGUCUGUCAUCUGAUGAUUACCUCUGGCAUCUGCCCAUCUCUUGAUUUUACAGAGACAAAGGGAAGCUCCACCUCCAGAUUCUGGUCCCUACAUCCAUGAAGGCAGAAGGUGGCUUAUGUCUGGUCAGACCUCAAAAAGCUAGAAGUCAACUAUGUCAAGCUUUCAGUACCUGAUUCAAUGUAAUGGACUCUGGUGCUCUGCAUAGUUGUUGUUUUUUUUUGCUUGUUGUUUUAAUAAAGGGAGAACAUGUUAGGCAAAAUACAAUAUAA